UAGAACUCCAUCGAAGAUCCUCCAGCUAUUGGUAAGAUCAUGUCGAUUGUGGGUAAGGGUGUGUGAGGCCCAAUUUGAUUAUCUGGAUGGAGUUCUAGCUUGGGUGGCUGUGGAGCUUGGAGCAGCUGAAGUUGGUUUGGUGGGGGUGGUAAUGCUUCGAGCCUAUUCAUAUGCUGGUGGGGCUGCAUGGUUUCGAUAUAUGUAAUUUGCG
rnacentral:lncRNA from 1 species